AGAGAAGACCAGUCGGGUUGCGGUGGCAAGUGCCACCCUCCCUCCGCCAUGCACCCAUAUAGGACCAGGCCAUCCCAGAACCUCUAAAUAUGUUACUGCACAUCUUUAAAAAGAUUUUUCAGGUAUAACUAAGGAUCUUGAGAUUAUCCUGGACUAUCUGAUGCGCCCAGUAUCAUCAGGAGAUGCCUUAUGAAAGGGAGGCAAAUUGAGCCAACAAUGACAGAAGUCACGUUGGUAGUGCCAGUGAAGGCUCACUCCAUGAAGAACUCUAAGGACAAAGAUGGAGGGGCCGUUCCGAGAGGAAAGGUGGGAAAAUUGACGUGCCACUAUCACACUCAUACUGUGAGGAGCUCCCUUUGUAUAUAACAAGGGAGCCAAGCAGUCUCAAGUAUCACUGUUCUGCAGCACAAUGAGAUUAGAGAUGGGUCAGACGCAUGCUUUUCUUUACAGAAUAAAGGAGAGUGAUCGUGAAGGGCAGUGAAGAAGGAUAACUGGCUUACCACAGCCAUUCUCUCUGGGAGAUUCAUUUUAGGAAGAAGUCAAUGUAGAGACGGAGGAUCUGGAAAUUGAUUCCCUUAAAGGUUGCCUUGACCUUGUAGUUUUUGCAAAGCCUUAUGUACUUUCAGUUCACAGCAGAGUUAAGGUCCAACUCCAUCCCAGAAUGACACAUUUCCCACUCGGCGGUCUUCCUGCUGUUUCAUGCUGAACAUCGUUCCUGGAAGGAUGUCUCCCGUGGGAGCACCUCUCAGUCCAUAAACAUUAUAACGAGUACUCCAGCCUGUCCUGAUCUACCUUCUCAUGGCACGUGAAGUGAAAAUAUCUGUAAAAUUAGAGAGAAGGAAUUGAGCUGAGAAAGGUUUAAUAAAUGGAAAAAUUAAAACAUAAUAAUUGACAUAA